ACACAGAUGGCAGGACGUGGAGAGGAGCACAAUGGCGGAGGAACUAGGCCACUGACCGGCAGAAGCAGAAUGAUGCUGUGGCAGUCGGAUGAGAGCCCAGGCCGCUGAGCUGUCGACUCCAGGGGGGAAGCCUUCCCACUCCAUCACCUUCUGACUUCCCCCAUCUGCUGAGAGCUGCCUUUACUCAAAAUCUUGCACUCAUUCUCCAAGCCCAGGUGUGAUCCGAUUCUUCAGUUACAGCAAAGCAAGCACCCAGGAUACAGAAAGCCCCCUGUUGUUGCAACAAGGCAGAGGGUCUAAUUGAGCUGGUUAAUACAAGCUGCCUAUAGACGACAAAACUAAAAGAGCGCAGGGUAGCACACGCCCACUGGGGCUUCAGGAGCUGUAAACAUCCACCCCUCGACACUGCCGUGGGGUUGGAGCCCGGUAGCCUUCGCGUCUGUAUGCUCCCUAGAGGCCUGAGUAAUGGGGCACUGAAGAAGCAAGCCGGUCCCCGUGUCGCACGCCCUGCAAGGGCGACAAGUGAACUUUUCCCAUUUCACUAAGGUCUUUCUUUUACGAAAUUGAUGUAUAAUAGUUGUACAUGUAUAUGGGGGUACGUAUAAUAUCUUGAUACCUGUAUACAAUUUGUAAUUAUCAAGUCAGCUGAUUGGGAAAUCUAUCACUUCAAACAUUUUUGAGUUGGGAGAGUCACAAUUCUUCUAGCUAUUUUGACAUAGACAAUAAAUGAUUAACUAUAACUUCCCUGCUAUACUAUCGAAUACUACAACUUACUCCUUCUAUCUAACAGUAUUUUUGUCCCCAUUAACCAACGUCUCGUCAUCCUCCAUCCCUUCCCAGCCUCUGGUAACCACCAUUCUCUCUCUAUUUCUAUGAGAUUCACGGUUUUUUUUAGCUCCCACACAUGAGUAACAUGUUAUUUUACUUAACAUAAUGUCCUCCAGUUUCAUCCAUGUUGCUGCAAAUGACAGGAGUUUUUUAUUUUUAUUUUUAUUUUUUUUUUUUUGAGACAGAGUCUCGCUCUGUCGCCCAGGCUGGAGUGCAGUGACGCGAUCUCGGCUCACUGCAAGCUCCGCCUCCCGGGUUCACGCCAUUCUCCUGCCUCAGCCUCCCGAGUGGCUGGGACUACAGGCGCCCACCACCACGCCCGGCUAAUUUUUUGUAUUUUUAGUAGAGACCGGGUUUCACUGUGUUAGCCAGGAUGCCCUCGAUCUCCUGACAUCUUGAUCCGCCCGCCUCCGCCUCCCAAAGUGCUGGGAUUACAGGCGUGAGCCACCACGCCUGGCCCGGAUUUCAUUCUUAUGGCUGAAUAAUAUUCUAUUUUGGAUACACCACAUUUUAUUUAUCCAUUCAUCUGUUGAUGGACACUUAGGUUGAUUCGCUGUCUUAGCUAUUGUGAGUAGUGCUGUGAUAAACAUGCAAGUGUCUUUGGCAUACUAAUUUCAUUUCCUUUGGAUGUAUAUCCAGCGGUGGGAUUGCUGGAUCAUACUGUAGUUCUAGUUUAGGUUCUUGAGGAAUCUCCGUACUGGUUUCCAUAAUGGUAAUACUACUUUACAUUUUCACCAACAGUGUGCGAGUGUUCCCCUCUCUAUCCUUGCCAGCAUUUGUUAUUUUUUGUCCUUUUGUCUACCACCAUACCAUGCUGAACACGGGGAUCCCAUCUGAGGUCUUUCCUGUGGGAGUGGCCGGAAGGCCA
rnacentral:lncRNA from 10 species